CCCUCUUUAGAGAUCUAGUAGGAUUCGAUAGUAUUUUGGAGCAAUUUUUGCUAACUUGAUUGUACUUGAAGUUUUGCAAAAUGAUAAGCUAAGACAAGUGCCUUGAGGCAGAGGUGCAGGAGUUCAGCAUGAUUCUUGGAUUUCAUUUAAGACAAGGAAGCAGCUCCAGAAAUCAAAGAAUGCCUGCCUCUACUCAUUAAUAAACACAGCUGGGAGGGGAUGGCGGGGUCAAAACCCAGAACUUGCCCUUUAUCCUUCGUCCCAGUGGAGAUGUGUGUUGCUUUUGUGACCCCCAUUGCUGGUGUUUCUGAAGCUUUCCUUACGGGCUUUUAGGAAGCACCCUUCGGCUGUGUGUUCAAAGACUAGCAAGAAGAAUGUGUUUAAGGAUUUUGCUCCUCAGAAACACUAUUGAGAGAAAACAAAGCUAUGGGUGAAGAAGACGAACAGAUGGGACUAGCGGAGGAAAGGAAUCUUAUAAAGAAGCGCAUUGAAUUUCAUGUGGAGGCGCCGUGGAUAGCCGAGGAGUGGGUUUGAUGUGAGCAUCCCAGGGGCAGUACCUAAGUCCAGCCACACACCAGAAGCAGGAGAGGAAAUAGCAGCAGAUAAAAUGUUUCCACAGGGGACUGUUAUCAAAGACUCGGUGCCAGGAAGAUGUCAUCCAAUAGCUGUCCAGAUGUGCUCGGCCCAUCUGCAGCCCGCCACUCCCCGCUUCCCUGCGUUUCAAAUUCAACACCUUCAGGGAUAGUUAGUCCAAGAGACCGGCACUGCAUUUAAUUUGGGAAAACACAUUUUUAGGUCACAAAACUGUGGUGUCAUUUCCUUUUUAGCUUUCUUUAGUUCUCCUCCUGCUCCAGGAAGAUGGAGAUUUACAAUUACAUUUUAUUGUUACUUUUCUCCAUAGCACAGAUGAUAAAUUAUUGAGAAGCCAUUUGGUCUAUAAAAAUGAAAUACACAGCAUCUCCCUUCCCCAGCGGGCUGCUGGGAUUGGCUCCAGCUGCUGUGAACUGUGAGGGCCUUGCAGAUGAUAAAACAAAGCAAAUCCUUUACACAUUAAGGCCUUCUUCCUUUAUAGGGAGAUAGAGGGAACAAUUUCUGAUGGGAGUAUGGACUGUCUGGAUGCUACUGAAGGCCACAGUACUAAAUGUGAGUGUUGGAAUUCAGAACAUGUGCCUAUAUUUUAGCUAGUUCUUAUUUUGGAUUCUAACCAGAAAUAGUCAGAGCUUCCAAUAGUUGACAUGAUUUUAAAUCUUUCUUAUCCUCUUCUACGGCAAUCGUAACUCUGUGGGUCACCUACCCCCUUAAGGUGCUGUAAAAUUAUGAAUUUCCCAUC